GACGAACGCUGGCGGCGUGCUUAACACAUGCAAGUCGAGCGGUAAGGCCCUUUCGGGGGUACACGAGCGGCGAACGGGUGAGUAACACGUGGGUGACCUGCCUUUAGCUCUGGGAUAAGCCUGGGAAACUGGGUCUAAUACCGGAUAUGACUCCAUGACGCAUGUUGUGGGGUGGAAAGCCUUGUGCGGCUAGGGAUGGGCCUGCGGCCUAUCAGCUUGUUGGUGGGGUGAUGGCCUACCAAGGCGACGACGGGUAGCCGGCCUGAGAGGGCGACCGGCCACACUGGGACUGAGACACGGCCCAGACUCCUACGGGAGGCAGCAGUGGGGAAUCUUGCGCAAUGGGCGAAAGCCUGACGCAGCGACGCCGCGUGGGGAUGACGGCCUC
rnacentral:rRNA from 1 species